AAUGAGCUAAUAUCUGGAUUAAAGUCAAUUAUGAUGACUGCACAACAAAAUCCAGCAAGCUAAAUUUAAACAAAAGGAAAUAUUCUAUAGAGAUUUUUUUUUUUUUUUUUUAUAUUUGUGAGUGUCUGGGCCAGCUUACACGCACCUCGACUAAUCACACGGGACAACCCGCCUGACCUACCACAUGUGUCAAGGAAACUCAUAGAAAAUUAAUUCCCAAGUAGGUGGCCACCAUGGAUUGAACCCAUGACCUCUUAGUUAGACAUUGAGACUAUGUCUCUUUUCACCACUAGCCAACCCAAUAUUCUAUAGAGAUUUUGAUACAUCCAUUUGAGACUAUCUCCGCCACUUACAUUAUUUUAAAAGAUCCAUUGUCCCUUUUCCAGCUAAAUUUUCUGGAAUGGAUGGAGAAGCCCAAAAAAGAACAUAUGAGUGCCAUCAAUGAUGAACAUGCUAAUGACCAAUGAGUGAAUAAUCGAACAAUACUUCUUCCUACAAUAUAACACGUCCAUGCACCCACCCCUCCCCUCCCAUUUUACUAUGUUGGAAAAAGGAAAAAAUCUUGAAAUGAUGUAAUCUGUCAGACAUAACAAAACUUUUAAGAGUAAAUACCCUGUGGAUGGUGUGCACUACAUAUUCUGCAUGUUCUUCAAGUAUACCACCAUCCAUUGCAGAAUGUUCGCCUUCAAGAUCCACUGCAAACCAAUCCAACCUACGAGUGUAGUGAUCUGGCAACUGAAAGUCAUCCAAAUUAGUGUCUGCCUCACCCUCCACCUUGCCUAUGAAAGCCUCCUGAUAAAAAGUUUGCUCGAGAGGGCCUCCUUGGUAAGCCCUAUCAGACUCAGCUGCCAAGGAUCGCACCUGUAAUCAAGAAAAUUUCCAAAAGAAAAUCAUAACUACUAUUUACAGAUUAGAAAAAAAAAAAAGAGACAUAAUUAAUUUCUGACUGUCAAAUACAUAAGGGAUAUAAAAUCGAAGAAAUCUAUAUUAUAAAAAUAGAAGAAGAAGCAAAAAAGGAAGAAGAAAACCUUGCCUGCUUGUAGCUACCUCCAUUUCCUGGAAUGAAAAGAACUGGAACCCCAUUAAGUUUCUUAAGAUGUUCCUUGAAAUCAAUCUUUUUCCAUCCUUCAUGAUACAAAUACACCCCAUAUUUUUCUGACGAUAAGCCCACAGGUGAAGAAAUUGGAAUAUAUGUUGGAUACAUGUAUGUCAUAAUACAUCCAUUAGAAAUUGGUUUUAAAAUUCCAUAUGUAGCAGCAAGGCUGAUCACUACGGUCACAGCUACAAGAACAGCAAUUCUGAUUUUGGCUCUAAGGUCUUGCAUUGUUGGGUCAAACUACCCAGUCCUCGUUAAAAUCUCUCUUUACAAAGCUUCCAUAAAUAUCGGUUUCAAAUCCUACACAAAACACCACAAAAUCAAUAAUCCACUCCUUCCCAAACACAAAACAUCAAUAAAUUCUAAUUUCAAUUGAUAAUCAUGACACUCUGCUUCUUUUCAUGAUGAAAUGCAACGGGAAUUCGAUGUAUUUUCUUGUUGCUUGGACAUGAGAACCAAAACCACACGGUUGGAUUUAGAUCCACUUCAACAACAACAAAAAAAAAAAAAAAAAAAAAAAACAUGAAACAUUUAAGAAUGGUAGGACCAGAGUAAAUAAACUCAUCAUAGUUACUCAAUCCCUCAGUAAACCGCCACACAUUAACAUGCAUAGAAACAGCAACAAACGCAAUUAAAUAACGACAUCUAAACCGUGAAAUGCAUUCAACUACCAACUCUUCGCAACUGAACCACCAAAAAUCCGAAAGAAGAAAUAGCAUUAAAAAAAACACAUCUAGAAGCAGGUCGUUGAGAAUUCAAAUUAUACAAAAACGGAAGAAGAAAUAAAGAUCGAGGUAAUUUGAAAUCCAAAUCCAAAUCCAAAUCCAAAUCCAAAUCCAUCGAUAUGGAGGCAUCAACAAAGAUAAAGAAUAUGAACUGUAAAAAUAAGGGAAUGGAUCUGGAGGAAUUGAAGAAGCGAAGAGAAAUGAGAGAAUGGAAAAGCUUACUGGAUCCGUGGAGAGCAAAGGAAAUGGCGGGAGCAUGAGAGUGUGUGAACUAAUCAGAUCGCGAUGGAUAUAUCUCUCAGAAUCGGACUUUCUUUUUUCUUUUUCUUCUUUUAAUUUAUUUUCUUUCCAACUAUUUCCUCUUUUUUUGAGAACCCGGAAAAGAAAAAAAAUAAUUAAUUAAUUUUUUUAAGAAAAGAAAAUAGAAGAAAACAAAGAUUGAGAGAUUUGACCAAAUUUUGACUCGUGAUCGACCGUUGUGUUUCUUUCAGAAUGCAGGUACGUGGCGACUUUUUAUUGGGUCCUGAACCCACAUUUACGGGGAUUUUAUCAUCGCCCUUCGGUGCCCCGCCCUUCCGAAUUUCAUUUCGUCAUAAACAAAGUACUUCAAAAACUUUGAAUAAAUUUUUUAAAUUAAUUAUUUCAAGUUCUAUUUAUAAAACAGUAAAAUUUAUUAAAUUCUCUACUCCUUUUAAAUAUUCUGUAAAUUAUUUUAUUUAAACCACAAAACCAUAUAUUUAUAUAAAUAUUUUAUUUUAUUUUGUUAUAUAAAAGUAUAUAUUUUGCUCGUCUCUUUUUGGAGAGUGUGUUUUCUAAAUAAAGAUCAAACGACGUCAUUUGAUCAUUCCUACCUUACUUUAUAGUUGGGAUCCUAAUUAUAACAACUUAGAUGUUUUAAAUUAUUAUAGUAUAUAAUUAACUACAACAUUACUAUAUUAUAUAUUUAUUUUGUUAGGUCGCUUGCUAUUUUGUUGUUAUGGCAUCUCUUUUCUAUUUGGUUAGUAUGUUUGUGAUUUCUGAUUAUUUAAGAAAAUAUAUACUAAUGUUCCAUUUGGUUGCUCAUAAUUUUUUAUUAUAUUAAAAACCUUGUAGAUUUCAAAUUAGUUAUAUGUUUGUUUGCCAUCCCAUGAAAUAUAUGGUUCAUUUAUCACAUUUUUAGGAAUAAUAAUUGAUUUAAUACAAUAUAGAAAUGCAAAUAUAUAACUAUAACAUGACUGAACUCUUAUUAAAUUGCAUAAUUUAAAAAAAUUACAAAUAGGAAGGAUUAUUUUUCCUUACAAACUCAAUAUUUCACACACUCAUGAUCAAUAGAUGAAAUCAAAUACCUGACAUCUUAUAGAAAAAUUAAUGUAAAAAAAAUUUCAAUCAAUUUAUAAUCUAAACUUUUACCUUUUACAAGUAUAUAUCAAUUUAAAGAAUAAACUUAUAUAAAUGUUUUACUUGAACACAUCUAUUGAUAUAUGUAUAAAAAUUCAAGUUUAAAUAAAUGUAUUUAUGAAAUUUUAAAUUUAAAUUAAUACAAGUAUUAAUUUAGAGUUUAAAUGAAUAGAAUCUCUAAUAUGUAAUUACUAAUUUAGAAUUCAAAUUUAUACCAUUUCAAAAUUCAGUAAAAAAAAAAAAAGUAUACACGUCAUUGAGCUUUUUUUCUUCCCCUUUGGAGAGGUUAAAGUUAGGCCUUACAUUGAAUAAUGGUUUCAACUUUCAAAUGUUGAAAAGAUUGAGAAGUUUUUUCUAUAUAAACUCUCAAUAUAUCUAAUUCAACCAGUUGAAAAGAUUGAGAAGUUUUUCUAUAUAAACACUCAAUAUAUCUAAUUCAACAUAUUAUUGUUUGAUAAUACUCUGCCACCAACAAUUAACAAAUACCCAUUUCAAAUUAUGUCACUGAUUAUUAACCUACAAAAUAAUCAAACAAUACAUUUAUACUUAAAAUGAUCAAUUAUAACCAACAAUGUACCAACAACCAAUAAACCAAUAUGAAUUUUACUACACACAUUGCUGAUAGAUGGUACGAAGCGCUAAUAUAUCAUUUACAUACAUUAGAUUUUUGUAGCAAUAUUAAUUUAUUGUUUAUGUAUGUCAUUGAUAGAUUGUAUUGCUAAAAAAGCAAAUGUAAAGUACACCAACCGUCACAUUAUUAUCAAUAAACAACAACAUUAGACCUAAUUCAUCCAUCCCAUCAUCUCUACAUAAUAAUAAUAAUUCAAUUAUCUUUAAAAAGGAUGAUCAUGAGGCAAAAAUUAUUGUAAUUAGUGGAGUUUUGCCUUUCCAAAACAGAAAAUUGUAAAAAGUAUUAUCAAGUAGAAUACGAUUCAAUAAAAAUAUAAUUAUAAGAGUUCUAGAGGAGAACGUUAUAAAACUAUAAAACAUUCACUUUAGUACCACGAAAAUAAAAUAGGUUAAAGAUAAGUGAUUUCAAACAAGAAGUUAGAAUUUUCAAACUUCAUAUAUUUGUCGAAUUAAAAUAAACAAUUUUUAGUGUCAUAUAGUCAUAACUCAACUACUUUCUAACGGUUAACCCCAACAAAAAAAAAAAAAAAACCUUAUUCAACAAUAUCACCCAACAUUGUCAAUAAAAAAAUUUAAAUCAAAUUGACCCUUCAAUAUAGUUUUGAUUAUUUAGUUCCCAAACUAGAGACAGUAAUAGCUAUUUAGUUUUGUAUUAGGGUUUAGGGUUCCCAAACAAGUUGGGUUGGGUAGGGUAAGUAAAAACAGAUCCACCAAAGGUAUGAUUCACCGUUAAUUACAAAUGGUGGCUAUUAAACCAGCAUUUCUCAUUCCGUUAUUCAAAUUACCUCUUCUAGUUACCAACUCUACAUGUCAAACGUCUCUUCCAUAGUUUGAAACAAUUUAAAUUCCUAAUAGAAAAAGACUAUUAAUAAAUUGUUACAAUUCUUAACAAAGUUUGACGGACUAAACUGCUACCUUCAUAAAAACUGUAAGCAUCAUCAAAAUUACAAUUAAAACCUAACAAGAAAUGUCCAGUUUCUUUAUCGUAAAUCAACUGAUUAUAUAAAAAACAACAAAUUAUAUUGAGUUAGCUAGUCAUGUUAAAUAAUAUUUAUCCCCACACAUGAAAUUAAAGGCUACCCCAUACUUAACUAUUGGUUUAAUUUCUUUCGAGUCGACAUGGUUAAUAUGUACACAUACUAAUACUAUAAUUAAUUUACUUUGUCAUACCAGCUAUAUCCAUUGCUUUCCCUUAGGAUUUAGCAGCGUCGCCAUCACUUCUCUUGUUGGUUGUUGUGUUCUUUAGUAUCUGUAUAGUAUAUAAUCAUUAACAAAUGAAUUUAAAGCCCUAGCUAUUCAAAGUCAAGAUUAUCAAGUAAAACAAAUUAAAAGUCACUUAAAUUACUUUCUAAAGGUUUAUAAACAAUUUUCAUCUACUUAUAAACAUUUAUUUAAUUAUUUAGAAAAUCAAUCAAAACAUACUAAAAAUAAUGAAAUUUACAUCGUAUAAUUAAUCAUAUACUUGCAUUAUCUAUUAACAAAAUCAUCUCAACCAUUAAUAAAUACUACAUUUAAUAUCAUCAUUUCACAUGAAUUAAAAUAUUUAUAAAAUAUAGUAUAAUUUAAUAUUGCCGCAAUUUUCAUAUUCCUACGUAUAUAGAUACUGUUAAAUUAGAAAAGGCAUAAUUCAGUAGUGCUUCAUAAAUGGGAGAGAGGCGGCAUAAGGGGGUGGGCCAACCACACAAUAAUUUAUCUAAUAAAUGUCAUCACCCAAUAUUUAUAUCCGACUUGGACAGAUAUAAAAACCUAAGUGAGUUAAGGGCACACUGCUAAGUCGAUGAUGGCCCAUCUCAUUAUUGAAAGCAAAGUUUAAUUAUGAAUUCACAAACAGUGGUUUUUUGUAUUUAAGAGUUUUGAAAAAGCAAUUUCAGUUGGUUUGAUCUUUUAUUGCCGUUUUAAACAAAAAACCUAAGUAAGUUGCUUUGAACCUUAAACUUUUAUGUAUCAUAAGUUUAUAUCAUUCUAACUUUUCUUCCUUAAAAUCAUGGGAUCUAACAAACAUUAGAAAAAGAAUAAAAAGACAAGACUCUCGCUAAACAACAAAUCCAUAGAUACCUAUGGAGCUAAAGAACAAAGAUGCAGCAAAUUCAAAAUUCAAAAUUCAACCAAAAUAAUUAAUCUAUUAAAUAUAAAUUUUAAGUUUAGGUUUAGGUUUAGGUUUAACAGCACUAAGGUCUCAGCGCUACAAUUUAGCACAUACUAGAUGGGUAAAUUUAAUAAAAAUAUCAGAAUAGAAAUAAUUUUAAUAUAUAACCUAACCGACUUUUUCCGUAGUUUAGCUCGACAAAGAGGUGGGAAACCUAAGUGAGAAGGUUCAAGACAUAUUCACUGCUAUGCUUGCUAAUGGUAUUAAUACUAAGUGAACUAUAUAAGGAAUAUAAAAUUGAGGAGGUCGAAUCUCUUGGGUCUAUAUUAGAUCCGUCAUGAACAAAGAUAUUUACGAAUAGAGCUAAUGGAGAGGGUUUAGUUUGACGUACGUGUCUAAGCAUUUGAUUCUCAUUUUGUAACGUGGACAACUUCUCUUCAAGCUCCGAAUUCUUCUUCUCCAAAUUUGUUGCCCUUUCUUCCAACUCGCUUAAGUACACCUUUUUCCUUUCCCUUGCUUGUUGUGCUGAAACUCUGUUCCUUAACAAUCUUCAAGACACGAAAAUGGCAUUCAGCUACCAGUAUUUCCUCCACAUACGAUACGACAGAAGAAAUUUGCAAUUAUACGCUACUUUUUUACCUUAUCCUAGACCUGAAAAUCUUACCUCUUCAGCCUUUUGCUUUCUUUCUCAGCCGCACUUCGUCCUCUGCUCCUUACGCUAUCUGAUGCAGGCGCUUUACCUGGCGCUGAAAUGCCGACUGUGGAGCCGGAGUUGCCGCAGAUCUGCGGAACUCUACUUAUCUCCUCCUCAUCACUCUCCGCUCCUAUAUCUGCAGUAAAGAAAUGAACAAUAUACAUAACGUAAUUCUCCAGCAAACGAACAAAAUCAGGAUGCAAUUCCAGAAACUUAUUAUUAAUAGUUAUAUAUACGGAUCUACGUCAACAACUUUACACAAGCUUGAACGAGGAAGGAUAAUCGCAUAGAAGAAAUCAUCAUAUUGUUACGAAAUUAGGUUAGGAGGAUAUGUUUCAAUCGAAUACAGAGCCGCUUGCAAUUUCUUCGUGGAAAAAGAUAGUAAAAGGAACGAUGAUAAAAUGAAACAAUUAUUUGAUUUUGAAAAAUAAAUUCGUCUCCGAUAAAUCAAAAGAACAAGAAAAAAAUCCUAACGACAUCCGGCUGCACUACUUCACGUUCAAUAUUUCCGCUAGAGAUCGUAAAGAAAACAAAAGAAAUUCAAAUCAAACCUUCUUUAACAUCAAGUUGAAAAGCGGAGCUAGACGAUCUUUCACUACUCGAGCGCAUACGACUGACGGUGGCGGCGGAGGCUCGUCCCUGCAUUACGCCGACGAAUAAUCAACACCGAAAAGAUUGGUGUGAGAGAAAAAAAAUUGGAAAGCGAAGCGCUGCAUAAAAGGAAAUGAAGGACUGAAAAAAAGAGCGGGAUAUGUUUGGUGACAGUGCCUUUAUAUGAGAGGAUGUUGCUUUUGGUUAAAUCUGGCCGUUCAAUUACUUUUUCAAUCUGACGGUUGAUAAGCGAACAACGUGGAUGAAGAUGAGCUAUACAAAGUGAAAUCAAUCAAAGGUUGUAAAGAUGAUAGCGUGGAGUAUGUUACAGCCGUAUGAUUAGAUUUUGAGAGCACACAUCCAUACAUUGUUGAAAGAAAAGACUCGCAUUCGAUUUAUAUAUCCAAACUUUGUCACUUAUAUCAAUUUAAACUAUCUGGUAAGUGCAUAUUUUGAUCAACAUUUUAAUAAGACGUUUGAAUUAUUAUAGUUAGAUUAUAAUAAUUUGUGUUUAGAGUGUAGAUUGUUUUAGUAUUGAUUAUAAUAUAAUUUGUUUAAGAUGUAAACUAAUAUAAAUUAAAAAAUCAUAGUAAACACGGAAGCAAAUAAGAAAAAAAAUUAUGAAUAUCAAAUAGUAAAAGUUGUAACAACGUAUUUCUAUCGCAAACUUAGGGUUUUGAAAUAUUGUUUAUUUUACCUAAGUGAAUUUUAAAUAGUAUCUGCUGUAGCACGUUGGUUAUUAUAAUUUUCUCAUAUUGAACUUUGAAUGGCACCUAAAGUGUGGUAAAAGUUGCAAUUUAGUAUUCAAACUAUAAUCCAUUAAUUAUUACAUUAUAUAAAUUUACAACAAUUUAGUAGUUCUUUUAUCAAAAUUAAAUAUAAACUUUUUGACUUAUAAUAUAUACACAUCCAACUAGAUUAUCAAUCUACAUGUGUAGGUUUUUUAAUUAAAUUCUACAAAAAAAAUUUAAAAUGGACUAAAUCAUUCUCAAUUAUAAAACUACAUGGAUUAAAUUGUUACUUAGUGUUUACAAAUUUUCAAUUUUCAAGCAUAAUGAAAUACAUCAAUCAAUUAAAGUUCAUAAACUAAAUUGCUACUUCUAUAAAACAUAUAUAGCGAUCAAGAUGUCUUUUCGUACGUUGAUAUGUUGCUUUACAUACUCACAUCUUUGUCACUCAUCUAUUAAAUAAAUAUACGACAAAAGGUAACAAAAAUAGUCAUUUGUUUCAACAUUUUAAAAAAUACAUAUAAAAAAAACAGGUUAACCAUGAAAUCAAUCUCGAUCAAUCCACAAAAAUAACAAUUUAAUAAGCGUGUUUUUAUAGUUGAACGUUGAAAUUAUUUAAUUUAAAAAACAAGUUAUUUUAAAAAGAAAAAAAUAAUAAAAUAUCGACUAAUCAAUCAAAACACCAAAUGUUUCCCUUAAACAAUUUUUUCAAACGAAGUAACAUACUCUUUUUAUUUCAACAAACUUUUUUCCAUAAACAACCAAAUGAGCAUUUAGUGGCCUAAAAAGUUGAACGUAGGACCAUUUUUAUUUAAGAUUCACUAACUUUGUACUAAAAAAGGGUGUUUUAUAUUCAUUGAAUAAUAUAGGUUAACACACUCAUCUAUCUAUUGUUUCUCUCAUAUAUUAAUUAUUGGGUUGGUAGUAUAAUUAUUUGGAUAGUCGCAAAUUUAGCAAUUAAAUUCAAAACAGUAUAUAGCAAUAUUUUUAAAAAUUUGUAAAUAUAGCACAAUUUGUCAAAUUUUAUCAAAGAUAUAAGUUUAUCACCGAUAGACCAUAUUGCAAAUAUUGGUCUAUUACUGAUAGACGUGAUAGACUAUACGAAGUCUAUCAGCGACACAAAUCUAUUAAUGAUAGUUUUGCUAUAUUUAUAAUUUUUUAAAAUUUUUUAUAUUCUUAAUUAUUAUUGUUGAAAUUGUUAUCAAUUGCAAUUUCCCAAAACUAUAUGGUGUUAUCCAUAAAUUAUGUUCCAAUAAUUUAUUAUCGUAGCUAAUAAUUAAAACAUAAAUUAAAAUAUUUACGAAACAUAGUAAAUUUUAGUAAUAGUUAUUGAUAAGACUUAUAUCAAUCUCAUAAUUUAAAAUUUCGAUAUAUUUUAUAAAUAUUUUUAUCAAUUUUACUGGUUAUAAUAAUAUUCUCACUAUAUAUAUUUAAGCAUCGUCGUAUUAUAUAUUUGACAUCUUUUAUCAUUUUAGGAAUCUUUUGACUAUGAAUGAAGGAAGGAAUCCACAUUUCUCUUUAAUUGAUAGAUAUGAGAUGCAAAAGGUUAAAUUGUCACAUCAUUUAAAACGUUAGGUACAAACAUAGCUCAACCAACCAAAAAUUUAAAAGUUUGAAUUUUCCACCCGUAUUAAUGAGCUCAAAUAUAUACACAUAUAUUAACUCUAGUUUUUUUUAGUACAUUUGAGUGUAGUUUUUAUUAAAUAAACGUGGUUUUAGAAACUAAUGUCAAAAAUAAGGUUGGAUCAAAACUACCCUAUUUUUUCCAUAAUUUUGUCCCAAUUAUAUAUUUUUAUUUUUAAAAAAAGUUAUUAAAUUUUAAUUCACUACUUUAUCAUUUUCUUUUUAUUUACUUUUUAAAAAACGAUUUUUUAAGUACAAUUUAAAGGUGAGGAUUUAAACUUGAAAUCUCUUGUUCUAAUUCUCAAAUUUUGUUGACGAUAUAUUUACUUACGAGAAUUAAUUAUUUUCUUCUAUAAAAUAUGAGACAUUUUUAAAAAUAACAAAACAAAAUAAAAUAUUUACUGAUAAACUAUCGAUGACAGAAUUUGCUAUCGGUUAUAAAUAUUUUAUAAAAUUUGUUAUUUUUUAAAAUUCUUCCUAAAAAAUUAUAAUUUUUUCUACAUUUUUUUUAUUACAAGCAGUAAAAGUAAAAGUAAAAGCGAAAGUCUCUAAUGUCAGUUGUUGGUACAAUUAUUAUAUUCUUAGAUGUAUGGAAUUUACAAUUUUUUCAAUAAAUGAUUACCAAAUCUAAAAGAAUCCCCACACUUUUUCAAUUGGAAAAAGAGUAAGACUACCAAAGGUAACUUGUAAGCCUAUUGUAAAAGCUUUGUUAGUUGCUUUCGACUCAUAAAUUUUAAAUUCAUACCAUAUCAAAAAAUUAUGGUAAAUGAUAAAAUUAAUAAAAAUAUGAUAAAAUUUUAGAUCCUACGUACAUUGAUAAACAAUAAUAUAACUCUAUCAGUGAGUAUCAAUAUCUAUCCUUUGUAGAAUACAAAAUUGUUAUAUUUUGUAAAUAUUUUGGUUCAUUUUGCCGUAUUAGAAAAUGACACAAUACAUAUGUAUAUGUAUAUAAAAGUUUGUUUUAUGUCCCAUAAUUCCUCUUCAUAAUGCUGGGAUGGAAUAACAUAACAAGUACUACUUAGUAGAAUAACAAAAAUAUGCUCCUUGUCAUUAGUAAUGAAAGUGAAACUAUCUAUAGAAAUCAUUCUACAAAAUUCUCGGCUCAUAUUAUCAGCUACCCAAAAACAAUAUUCGAUGUGACUAUCUUGCAUUCGGCAUUCGAACUUUUUUCAGGUUCAUGCUAGGCAUCCAAACCAAACCCAAUCUUCUACACAAACACUGCCAAUGAAAGAAUGAAAUCUAUAGUACAUUUAUUUUCUAUUGCUCUUCUUGUUGAGUAAUGGAAAAACACAACUAAAGUAGUUUAUUCGAAAGGAGAGAUAAAGCAAUAAAAAAACUAACCGUUGAGGCAUUUGGUAGAUGAAGAAGAUCAAGCAGAUUGAGGAGAAGACCGAUCAAAAGGUAGGCGUGGAUCAGGAACUCCAUCUUCAACUCGCUUAUCUUCAAACCAUUUCACUAUUCUUUUGCGAGGCAGAUUUGUCACUUGGACGAUGCUACUAAUCAUUGCGUUCUGUAUUUGUUGUGCAAAGAAGAAAAAAGUUAGACAAUGGUAAAAUAACAUGUCACUUGAUGACAUACGUAGAGCUUGGUCAACGACCAUCUUGAAGCUCGAUAAUUUAAUCCUCUCCAUCCCACCCCAAUCCUACAAUUGUUCCGUUAAGAAAUAAUAUGCUAUAGAAUUUGAAGUUUUCAAUACUGCUAAAUUCUACCCUCAUAACCUAGGGUUUUCUGAGUUUAUGAGGUUUUUGAAGCAAAGUGAAGAAUACGAAAGAAGCCACAAGUUUAAGUAAGGCAGUAAAUAUUCACGAGCACACACAAAAAGAAAGAAGAAUAAGUUUAAUGAGAAGGCAAAUGAUCUUCAAGCUAAGGCUGGGCUGAGGCAUGUCCCUAGGAUUCGAUCGGUGUUCAUUACCACAAUCUUCAACUUAGAAGAUUUGGUAUUCCUAAUAAAGAGCUCUAAAAACAGUUUUUUAAGAAAUCAAUCCAAACCAACCCUUAGAGAGUUGAGAUAAAUGAUUCCAUUCAUCCACACAGAUGCACAUACAUAUCCAAGAUACAAAUGUAAACCAUUGGUUGAUCUCCUAUGUGUCCUAACAACAUUAAUGAUAUCCUUGCCUCCCUACUGGUGGGUCGUUCUAAAUAUAUAUUUGGUUGGCCAUUACACGUGCAUUAUUUGAACUCUGGUUUUUUAUUUUUUUUGAAUUCUUUGGAGUAAGUGCAAUGGUCAUCUCGAGUCUUUCUCAUCCUUCCAUUGCUUAAUGGAUUUUAUUUUGUUUACCGUAAAAAUAAGCCAUUUGCUCAUUUGUACCUUGUUUCCAAAUGGAAAUCUGUGUUUUGAUCACCUACGAGUGCGGGGUUUCCCCUAUUUCAUUUACCAAUGAAAUGUUUCUUAUGCCAAAUUGAGCAUAGCUAUUGGAGUUUGUGGUUUGCAUCCCCUACACCCAAAUGCACUAAACUGGCACAGGAAUUCAUCAGAUACUCAAAAUGUAAAGAUUUUAUCUUCUUUUGAAGCACAGCUAAUGGAGAAAACUAUACUAAACUUACAGUUGGCCGCUUUGUUCUUCUAUAAACUCUUUCAAGAGUUUCAAUCUGAACCUUCUUCAGUCUCUUUUGAGCAGCCCAGCUCUGUUGCAUGACAUGAACAGGCACCUUCGUCACUUCCUCCUCUUUUGCAGUGUCUACUACUAGGGGUUCUUCAUCAGUAGUUUGUAAGGUUUUAGUUUCUAUAAUUGAUGGUUUAGGAGUGUCUGGAAGACUAGCACUCAACAUCAGAAGAUUGGGUGGUGGUUCGCGAAGCAACUCGAGAACGACGGUCCUGUCGAGACAAAGUUCAGCAGCAAGACUCUUGAUCUGCAAAGAAAAGGAUGCAUUAGCCUUCAGCAAGAUAAACUUGCAAAGUAAACACUGCAUUAGCAUUUAGGAAGACUCUUCUUCAGUAAAGUCAACAACAAAUUGAGAAAGUACAUAGGGUUUUUUUUAUAUGGAUGACCUUAAAAGUUAGGUGGAAACAAAAUCUGACUGGUUUCUCAAUAUAAGUUUUUCUGGCAUCGGUGAACGUAUUUUAUUUUUGGGCUCACUCCCUUUUCCCUCUCGCUCUCAUUCUCACUCUCUCUCCGAUCCUAUGUUGCCUCCUGUUGCUCUCACUCUCUAUUUGACCAUUUUGUUCUUGCUCUCGCUCCUCAUGUUCCCUCACUCUUAGCUCCCUAUUUAAAGAGGUUUUAUAGUAUAAAAUCUCAUUUGGUAUCUAUUUGUAAGAGUAUUGAUAUAAUAUUAAAUCUACCUUCACUCACCAAAGUUUUUGGGUUGUGAUUUAAAAUGGUAUCAUAGUCUAUGAAGUCCAUGCCAACAUUUGAUCCAAAAAGAAAAAUUUGGAUCCAACCUUAUGAAUCAUGAACCCAGUGAGGCAUAUCUUGAAGGCCAUGUUGAAUAGCCCACGUUGAUAAAAUAGAGAGACGACACACAAUCUUAUUUAAGAUCGAUGAGUCUCCGAAAAUGAAAUUAUAGUGAUUUCGUACUUUGAUACCAUGUAUCUAAUAUCAGUCAGGAUAUUCAAAUUUCGGGUCUUUCCAAACGGAACUGAUUCAAGAAGAUUUUGUGCUUUCUAGUUCCCAAAUCAAACGGCAACAAAAACCACAGGUUACUGAUAUUGCAUAAAAAGUUCAAUGUUUGAAAAACUCACGCUCGUUUUACGGCGGCCUUUCUUCAAAGCCAAGGCUAGUCGUCGAAGUUGCCAGUUCUUUAGUUUUACAGGCAUUUCCUCUUCUUCAUCAUCUUCAUCGUCGCCGUCGUCGUCAUCUUCUUCUUCUUCUUCUUCUUCUUCUUCUUCUUCUGCUUCUUCUUCUUCUUCAUCAACAUCGAUGCCAAGAGCUAACCCUAGCUCGCGCUCAAGUCUGGCAAGGUCCUCUUCGCUAAAUUCAUCGUCUUCACCCUCAUCCAAGGAAGACGCGUCAUUCUUGAGAUCUUCUUCCAGUUGACUAAACAACAACUCAAGAGCAUCCUCCUCUACAUCCUCCUCCUCGUCCCUAGCUUCUUUCGGAAUCAAAUUUCUCUGCAAAAAAAAAAAAAAAAAAGUAGAAUAACAAAAUUUGAAGUUUCAGAUAAGCUUAAUUACACGCUCAUGCCAACGCAACAGAAACAAUAAAAGAUUAAGUAAAAUAAGAUCACCACACUAUCUAGAACUCUACCUUCUUUUUCUUCGAAGAUGAUGAAGACGAGCUGACAGAUGAAUUUUGGUUCCGACGGCGAGCAAAUGUGAGCGACAGAGUGCGACAAACCGGAGGACGAUGCAGAAGAGUAAAAUUGGAUGGAAAAGGCCGGCGUCGAAAGAAGAAUCUACCUCGGUCAGAAAUCGACGGCGAACCUGGAAGUGCUUCCGGUGCCGUCGCCGGUGCCGAAAGAAACAUCGGUUGAUUUAUGUAGACAGACACUUUGUUCGAUCAAUAUCAAGCGGCAAGAUGAUAAACCUUCCUGUUCCCUCCAAAACGACGCAGUUUACUUGCACGUGCGGAAAGUUUAAUUUAUUUCUACUCAAUUUUGUUUUUUAAAUGACCAUUUUCGUCACUUUUUUCAUUGUAUUUUUAUAUGAAUUAUAAAUAUUUUUACCAAAAUUUUGACAAUUUUUUUAAUAAUUUAGAGCGAAAAUGCAAAGGAUGAUAAAUGGGACGAUAAUUUUUUUUUUCUAGUCAGAUUUAUUUAAAAUAUAAGAUUUAAAAUUAAAGAAGUACUGGAUCAAAAUUGAACAAGUCUUAAACACCAAUCGAUUCGUGUAAAUUACCGAGUGGUGUAUUAAAAAAAAUUGUUUAACUUUCCUUAUAUUUCAAUAAAAAAUAUUACAAAAAAAGAAUAAUGAUAAGAAGUGAGUGUGGAGGAAUCGAAAGCUACGUUCAUUAUUAAGUUAACUAAUAAUAUUGAUAUUAUAUCAUUUAUAUAUGUAUAUAUAUAUAUAUAACGGGUAUAAAGUUGAAAGAGACUCAAACCCUAAACAUAUAAUAAAUUCAUUGGUGGGUAUAUUUAUUUUGCAUCAAAAGAAAACUCAACUAUUUAUAUUUUUGUGAACACAUUUAUUUAACACGUAUUACACGGCUUAAUCGACUAGUUAAAAGUAUUAUAAUUUUUAUUUUUUCCCAUUAGUUAGUAUCAUUUCUACAUCAAAUUACUGUGUUGAUCCAUAAAUAUAUCAUUUGAAUAUUUUUUUAUUUUUUAAUUAAUUUUUCAUCAAAUUUGGUUAAAUAAUAAUUAUAAUAACUUUCAUCCCAUGAAAGACUCAUCAAUGGGAUAAGGGUAGAGACUAAUUAUGAGAUUUAUUCAACAUAAGAUUACUAAUUAAAUUAGAAGAUGAUAUAUUAACCAAACGUUACUUUUCAAUAAGCGAUUAUAUAUAUAUAUAAUAUAUAGAUAUUUAAAAAAAUCUCCACUCUAAACAUUACUAAAAACAUAAAAAUAGAUUAUAAAUUAAUAAGAGAGUUUAUUUAUUAAUUUUGUUGAGCAAAAACUAAAGCCUAUAGGAAACAUAAUGAAGAAAGAUGUUUGGUUAUAAUUUGAUUUCAUGUAAUAAAUAAGCAUUUCCUUUAUAACUAAGCUGCCUAACCUCAGUCCCAACACAGAAUAAAUGGCCUUCCAAUCCCAAUUCUCCCUUCAUUCCAGCUGUUUCCCAAACAAGUUUAAAAAUCCCCAUUGCUCUAUCAAGCUGCCUCACCCCAUUCCAUACAAUUUUCUCUUCAUCACAGCUCAAAACCCUCCCCAUGAACAACAAAAACUUGUCAUUCCCAUCACCCUUCAACAACCCACCACAAAAAUCCACUUCAAUAUCCCUAAAAUGCCCAAAAAGAUAGUAUAGUAAAAGGGUGAACAAGCACCUGGAUGAGUGCCCCAAUGUCUUUGAAAGCUUCUUUUGCACCAAGCUUUCUUGAAGUUUGGCUUCCCUAAAUCCAAUGCUUCUAUCACUCCACACAUCUUUGAUUUGGGAAAGCCCUUCUUUCAUAACCUCGAGCUUUGUUACAUAAUGGACCAAACUCUUCUCGUCUUUCAGAUAGCCGAUCAGAUCGUUGAACAUCUCGAGCAUGUCUUCCCAUCUUGGCGGUGGAGAUGACUUGACUACCGUUCGUGAUGGCGCUGGUCGAAUCCAUGAAGAGAAGUGAACAUUUGAAUUGGUGGCAGUAUCCAAAAACUUUAGGCAACUUGAAACUAUCUGAAGCGACAUUUUGAUCCCUUUGUCGGUUGAGCGAUGAGAUAAUGGAAGCAACUCCAAAUUUAACUCUUUCAGUAUUUGAUCCAAUGCACCAGUCCAAAUGUGAUGCUGUGUAACCUGUUUAAACAUCAAACAUCAAACAUAUACUAAUAUAACAUUUGGGUUUCAUAGUGACUUAUCCCAAUGUUAACAAAAACAAAACACGACUUGGCCUAAAGGUGUUUGGAGAUUUUGAGCCCAAGGAUUCAAAUUUCAUAGCAACCAGCUCACCUAAGAUAAAAUUAUAAGAUCACCAAUGCACCAAAAAAAACCUAAGUUAAUGGGUGAUGGUAAAUUUCUUAAUAUAUCAAUACUUUAAGGUUUUCCUUCACUUUGAAAUAUGUGAAAGAUCUAACAAGUACAAAUUAAUAUUACUUGGAGUGGAAAUAACAUUCUAAGAAAGAUCUAACAAGUACAAAUUAAUAUUACUUGGAGUGGAAAUAACAUUCUAAGAGUUUGAACACAUGAACUCUUCUUAAUCUUAAUAUUAAAUCACGGAUGAAUCUAAAAUUUUAAGAUAAGCUAAUGGAUGAAGGUAAGUUUAAUGAUAUAUCACUGCUUUAAAACACCGCCAAUUUUCUUUUGGACAAUUCUAUAUGGUCUAACCUGUGGGCAUAUGGUGUGGCGCACCAGUUUCCUUUGCUGGACUGUGACCCCGAGGAUGUUGCACACCUUGGUGAGUGAAUCAACAACCAUAGCCUCUCGUUCACUUGAAUUUCUGAACCAUGCGUGAGGCUGACAAUUUAUAGAACUCGAUCCAGCUAUCUCUGUUAUUCUCCUCUGAGCAGAUGGAGAACCAAUCAAGAUUCUUACAAGGGACUUGAAAGUGCGCAUUUCCUGUUCAAUACGCUCAUCGCUAAUGGUCGAAUCAUCACUAGCAUUCACAACUCGUCCAUCCAUCAAAUCCACAUUCCUCAACUUACAGCUCAAUUUCUUUAUCUUCCCAAAAGCCUUCUCGUACCAUUCAGACGGUAACACCUCUUGAACGGCGGAGGAGUCCUCUGCGGAAUGAUACAGCAUAGAAUUUGAUUGUGAAGCCCCACAUCUUGUGUUAGUGAGAUGCUUUAAGCGAGAGAUGAAAAACAGCCUCUGCAACUGAUUAUAAAUCAUGACUCGAAAGUCACUUCAUAAAUUUACUCCCUAGUGGAAAUCUGAGCAAUGGGUUUGCAUAUUCUCCGGCGAUAGUAAGUUUGCCAUAGCCUGGAACUUGAUUGCAGCAUUUUGUCGAACAGUUGGUGGGUGCACCCUUAGAGAAACAAAAAUGGAGAAUUUGGGUUGUUGAAAUCCUUGUGCAAGUAAAUUGAAACAGAAGAACUCCACGAUUGGCAACUGGAAUUACAAGAUUGAUGAGAGAAAUGAAGCGAAGAACUGAGAAUAUUAGCACUCACACCAAAAUCUCCAGCUGAAGUAAACAAAUACUUCUGUUUUUCUCGCCUCUCUUUUCAAACACAAUUUUGGUCCUAUUAAUAUUUUUCUAAUUUAAAAUUACAUUUGAUUCCUACUUUUAAAAUAAAACUAAAAAAAAAAUAGAAAGAAAUACCUAAAUUUAAUACCAAAUUUCACAAAUAUAAUUCAUUUUCUCGAUUAGGAUUCCCUAAUAAUUAUAAUCUUUAUUAAUUAUAUAAGAUUUUCGAAACUAAAUUCAAAUGGUUUCUUUAAUUACAUUAUAUUUAAUUUAUUAUAGAAAUUAAAUAAAAAUAGUUGAUAAAUUCUAUAUAAAAUGAAUACUAUUCUAAUAUGUAAUAGUUUAAUAAUUCAAUAUAACUAUAUUUCAUUAUUUUCAUCACCACAUAUUGUGAAAUUUAUUUCGGUGCCGGCGACGACUUCAUUUUCUUCCUCCUUCAAUUUCGAUAUUUUCUUCCAUCAAUUUCGAUAUAUAAUGCAUAUAUCACCAUACCAAUACAUAAAGAAAAUUUGUACUUUUUAAAAAAGUUUCUGAAACGUAACCUACAUUCCUAUUUCUCUCCUUGUCGGUCCACCUUACAAAUUAAUAUAAAAAUCUUUUAUUCAUAAAAUAUAAAUAAGUGAAAUGAAAUAUAUGAAAAACAAUGUAAAACUAAAGAAAGAAGGGACAAAGAGAGAUCAGGAGAAGAUUUUUUCGAACACAAUCACCCAAAUAAAAAUAAUUAGGAAUUUUUAUUACAAUAUUUAAUAAAUACAAAUAUUAAUCAUGAUUCACUUUUUUUUAAUUUUUUCUCUUUUUAUAUAUUAUUAAUAAUAAAGAUAGAUAAAUUGAUCUUUAGCUUUUAUAUUCGUGUAAAAUAUUAAUCAAUAUAGGACAUUUCUGAAAAUUUGUAAAAUUUUAAAUUUGUUAUAUGAUGUACCAUUUUAGGGUAGGUUAGUUAAAGACCCAACAAAAAAUAGAAUAAUAAAGUUCAUAUCAAUACAUUUUCUAAAUUCAAACUUAAAAACCGACAACCCUAUAAUUGGUUCUACAUGGUCAUAAUUUUGAUAGAUAAAAAUUAAAAGAGGGAGAAAAAGAAAAACCUCUAUACAACUUUCGAACGAAAAGGAAAGAAGCAAGAAACAACCCCAUAGAAGUAAAUGGUGAGGAAAAGGAACAAAGGAAAAGAUAAAACAUAUCUAUAAAUUCACUCACCCAUUAAGUCAACAAAAGAUCAAUUGCAAAUAUUUUGAUGAAAGAGGGAGUAUUUUUCAGUUAAUUUUAAGAUCUAAGAAUGGACUAAAAUGGGACAAGUUACAUUAUCUAAUUUAAAAUUGAAUAAAUUUACAAAUAUAUAGUAUGAAUUGUUUUCCAAUAUAGCAAAAUGCUAUCAAUUAUUUUUCAUUCGAAACCAAGACACUUAAUAAUUUGGUUGGUUUAAGUGUGUUUAAGUAUUCACCCGAACCACUAAUUAUCACGUGAUAAAAAAAAAAUCUUAAAAGAUAUAAACAAGAGGAUAUUUCAUGUUUCAAAAUCCUUUCUCGACCACAUCUCCCUCUGAAUAAUUUGCAAAAUGUAAACUACAUUUCAACAAAUUUAUGGUGAACAUUUUUAGGAGUCAAAUGUGGACAAUCCACUAGUAAUCAAAAACCAAAAUUUUGCCAUUCCCGUAAAAUGAUAUCUGUUCUCCAAGAGGAAUGCAUAUUAUUGCGAUUAAGUUAGCAAACAUCAACUUAGAGAGAGACCAUAAUUAACUUCACAACCAUUGUGAAUACACUGAAUCAGAAUUUGAAUACGAAUCAAAGUCACUAUUCAUGAUCUUAUUCAUGAGCAAACUAGCUCUCUCUCUCGCUUUUGCUGAUCCUCUCACAGAAAGAUCAGCAAUAACUCCAAAAAACUCUGGCAACUUCGAAGCAUCACUCAAACAACCUUCGCUUUCGUCGAACAAUCGCAAAAGUAUCUCAGUUGCACCUUCUUUACUCAGCAUGCACCUUCCUUUCAACACAUUAACCAUUGAAAUUACGAUCCGAUCGGUUUUUAUCAAAGCUCUCAACCCCUCCUCAAAUCUAGCCAAGAGACCGAGAACAACAAGAGCAGUACCAGCGAGAUCCUCACCGCUAGUACUCUCCACUACACUGAUAAGAACUUGGAUGGCUCCGGAUCGAACUGCCACAGUGCAGUUCCCGUGAAACUGGCCUAGUUCAGCUAAGGAACAGAGAAGGUGAUGGGCAGCAGGAAUGUUGGGAACUUUAAGUGCUCUAACCAAUAGUUGUAUUGUCCCUGCUACACCAAACUUAGCUUUGUUUUUGUCUAACAUUGCAAGGCUGCAAAUCAAUGAGGACGAUAGCUUGACAGUGUCGGGGGAGCCAAGAGAUAUAAGUGUAUUGAGAUGGUAGAUGGUUUCCAUUGAUGCAAGAAGCUUUUUCAUGUCAUGGUUCAGAGAGAGGUUGAAGAGAAUUGACAGUGAAAGAGAUUGGAUGGUAGAGGAAGAUGAUUUGGAAAGACCAAUAAGAGUUGAAAUCGAUCCAUCUACUUGUACAAGCAAGUUCCUGUGUAGAGGACUAACCUGAGUAAUGGUGACCAAGUUUUGAAGAGCCUUUUCUUGAACUUCGUGAGCAUCUGACCGAGCCCCCGCCAUACACUCUGUUAUGGUUUUAUGUGCAGUAGCAACACUCAUGGAUCUCAUGGAAGAAGAAGACUGGAAAGAUGCAACUGACAUGAUGCUCAAAUAAUAUUAUUCUGAAAAGAGCGAGGAUAAUACAAGCCUAGAAGUUUUAGAACGAACUUCAAUUUCUAACCUGCAAUAUAAAUUAGAAGCUCUAUUUUCUAGGGAGAACAGAUAAAGUUAACUUGUGGCUGGAUUUUUGGAAACAUCAUUCGUUGUUAUCAAAGUAUGAGUAAGGUAUAUUCCUGUUUUGGUCCUUAAAGAAAUUCAACAUAAGACAGAAGAUGAUCCAAGCAUCCAAGAACCAGGCUGGAAAUAUAAAUAAAUAUCACCAUGUAGUAUGAAUCAGUCCAAAUAGCUGAAAAACAAGCAAGUCUAGUCAAACCACAUAGUUGAUUACUCCCUAAACGAAGGAAUCAAUCCUAUAGUAGAAUAGCCUUUUUCCUGGGUCUUGAUUGGGGGGAGAGAGAGAGUAUACACAGACAACACUAAAAAAAGUAUAUAUUAGAGCUCAGGCAAUAACAUGUAUAUAGAAAGCUUCCUUCUUUUUUUUCUCUUGCACUCGGAAGUUUGAAGGUAUAUAAAUUUAAUUAAUUCUUUCCAAUGCAAAUAAACUCUAAUCAUGAUAUACCAGUACAACUCUUCCAAAGUUCUCAGAUUGCGACAUCCUCUGUGUUGAAAUAGAAAGGGCAAGGAAAAAGAGGAAGGCACAACUUUACAGGGCAAAUAAGUGGGGAUCGGGGAGACACCCCAAAAUAGAAGCGCACGAGGGAAUGGAAUUAAAACAUGGGGUGGGCUUAUACAGAAUUAUUCAAGAAGAAGCAAGAAGUCAAAAGAGACAAAGGGGAAGAGAACUCACAAGAAGGAUAAUGAAGAGGCUGGAGUUGUUCCUUUCUGAGGAUGCUCCUAUCUGCCAUCAUUGGUUACAACCAAGUUCACAAGGGGAAUCUGAUGAAAUUUACAGGACAAAACCACAUGGCAUUUAAUAUUCGGAAAUCGUAAGAUGGGCCCUGAAUGCAGCAAAAGCCAUGUCUCACCCGAUGUUCAACGUCGCCAGGAAAACAUGGACUCAAUUAAUUCUUUGACCCCACUGAAAACGACAAGAAAUUCUACUUGCUUUCCAAUGUCGUUACAUAAAUAUAAUAUUUUAAAAAACCCUAGCAAAAAAUUAUAUUAAAAAUCCAACCCAAGACUAUAAUUUGUAACAAGAAUAUAGACUAAAACAAUGGGACCAACAAAAGUCAUAGAAAAAGGACUAAUCGUGAAGGGGGAAAUCUCAUAUGAAAUCCAAUCGAGAUGAUAAAACAAGUUUCACACUUAUUAUUUAUCAAUGAUGACUCGAACAGAUGGUG
rnacentral:lncRNA from 1 species